rnacentral:ncRNA from 2 species
CCGGAGUGACAGGGGCGUCCGGGACCUUCCCGGGCUGAGAAGCACCCUUUGAACCUGAACCAGGUCAUGCUGGCGGAGGAAGUCGCGAUGCUGCAGGU